AGCGAACGCUGGCGGCAGGCUUAACACAUGCAAGUCGAGCGGGCACUUCGUUGUCAGCGGCAGACGGGGGAGUAACACGUGGUAACGUACCCUUUGGUUCGGAAUAACGCUGGGAAACUAGCGCUAAUACCGGAUACGCCCCUUUGGGGAAAGGCGUGCUGCCGCAGGAUCGGCCCGCGUCUGAUUCGCUAGUUGGUGGGGUAAUGGCCUACCAAGGCGAGGAUCAGGACCUGGUCUGAGAGGAUGAUCCGCCACACUGGGACUAGGACACGGCCCAGACUCCUACGGGAGGCAGCAGUGGGGAAUAUUGGAGAAUGGGCGCAAGCCUAAUCCAGCCAUGCCGCGUGAGUGAUGAAGGCCUUAGGGUUGUAAAGCCCUUUUGUCCGGGACGAGAAUGACGGUACCGGAAGAAUAAGCCCCGGCUAACUUCGUG
rnacentral:rRNA from 1 species